rnacentral:rRNA from 1 species
GAUGAACGCUAGCGGCAGGCCUAAUACAUGCAAGCCGAACGGCAAGAACUUUAGCAAUAGAGUUCCUAGAGUGGCGUAAGGGUGCGUAACACGUAUGCAAUCUGCCCUCAACAGGAGGAUAGCUCCCCGAAAGGGGAAUUAAGACUCCAUAAGAUCAUUUUAUGGCAUCAUGAGAUGAUUAAACUACCAGGGGUUGAGGAUGAGCAUGCGCAUGAUUAGUUAGUUGGCGGGGUAACGGCCCACCAAGACGAUGAUCAUUAGGGGAACUGAGAGGUUGA